GUACCGAAUUUGGGAGAGAUUCCUUAGUGCUCGAAAGAGAGCGGUAACACAGGUGCUGCAUGGCUGUCGUCAGCUCGUGUCGUGAGAUGUUGGGUUAAGUCCCGCAACGAGCGCAACCCUUGCCAAUAAUUGCCAUCAUUUAGUUGGGCACUUUAUUGGGACUGCCGGUGACAAACCGGAGGAAGGUGGGGAUGACGUCAAGUCCUCAUGGCCCUUAUGGCCAGGGCUUCACACGUAAUACAAUGGUCGGUACAGAGGGUUGCCAACCCGCGAGGGGGAGCCAAUCCCAGAAAGCCGAUCGUAGUCCGGAUUGUAGUCUGCAACUCGACUACAUGAAGUCGGAAUCGCUAGUAAUCGCGGAUCAGCAUGUCGCGGUGA
rnacentral:rRNA from 1 species